rnacentral:rRNA from 1 species
UACGUGGGGGGCAAGCGUUGUCCGGAAUUACUGGGUGUAAAGGGAGCGUAGACGGUGAUGUAAGUCUGGAGUGAAAGGCGGGGGCCCAACCCCCGGACUGCUCUGGAAACUAUGUGACUGGAGUGCAGGAGAGGUGAGCGGAAUUCCUAGUGUAGCGGUGAAAUGCGUAGAUAUUAGGAGGAACACCAGUGGCGAAGGCGGCUCACUGGACUGUAACUGACGUUGAGGCUCGAAAGCGUGGGGAGCAAACAGG